UCUGGGACAACCACUGGGAAACGGUGGCUAAUACCGGGUGUGCCGAAAGGUGAAAGGUUAACUGCCUGGAGAUGAGCUCGCGUCUGAUUAGCUAGUUGGUAGGGUAAAAGCUUACCAAGGCGACGAUCAGUAGCUGGUCUGAGAGGACGAUCAGCCACACUGGGACUGAGACACGGCCCAGACUCCUACGGGAGGCAGCAGUGGGGAAUUUUCCGCAAUGGGGAAAGCCUGACGGAGCAAUACCGCGUGAGGGAGGAAGGCUCUUGGGUUGUAAACCUCUUUUCUCAGGGAAGAAAAAUGACGGUACUUGAGGAAUAAGCAUCGGCUAACUCCGUGCCAGCAGCCGCGGUAAUACGGAGGAUGCAAGCGUUAUCCGGAAUGAUUGGGCGUAAAGCGUUCGCAGGUGGCAUUGAAAGUCUGCUGUCAAAGAGUCUGGCUCAACCAGAUACAGGCAGUGGAAACUUCAAAGCUAGAGUGCGGUAGGGGCAGAGGGAAUUCCUGGUGUAGCGGUGAAAUGCGUAGAGUUCAGGAAGAACACCGGUGGCGAAAGCGCUCUGCUAGACCGCAACUGACACUGAGGGACGAAAGCUAGGGGAGCGAAAGGGAUUAGAUACCCCAGUAGUCA
rnacentral:rRNA from 1 species